AUAAAGAGAAAGCAUGUCAACACAUAUAUUUAAAUAUUUCAUAUAAUGAAAUUAUUUAAUAUAUUGACUGACCUGAAAUGGUUGACUCUGUUAGUCAUUUCAUUUCCGGUAUCAUAUAUGUAGAGCUGUGCAAACUUUGGCUUUGAUCCAUGCUCUGGCAAUAAACUGCCAAUACGGUGAUAGUUCUGUCCAUUCAGAAUAAAUUGUGGAGGAGCAGAACCAUUGUUCAUUGAAUUAUCAAUCUUACCACCAAUUGAAGUAAAUGCAAACAUGCUAUUGUAUACUCUUAUGUUUUGUAAAAAUGAUUUGCUUCUCUGAUCUUCACCAUUUAACAAACCUUCAAGAAGAUUAGGUGGUCUUUUUAAUAGUGGAAUUUGUACUUUUCCCUUUUGACAACACAAUGAGAAUUCAACUCCCUUAGAUGUGUUACAUUUUUCUGCUCUUUCUUCAUACCAAAGUUGAGCUUUACAGUAUUGGCAUUCCAAGCAAGGUUCUCCAAUAUUGAGCAAUUCUGAAAAUCAAUAUAAAACAUUAGAAUGAAGCUGCGAAAAUUUUAAUCUGCAGUUAUAUACAAUUGUGUUGGACAUUAUGUACCUUGUAACUCUCCUUUGCAAUACAAUUCGUUUGUAGUUGUAGUACUUGUAUGAUGUUCUUCAAUAUUAGUAACAUGAAAACUAAUUAAUGAUUUUAAAGGAAUUUAUAUUAAAAUCAAAAAGUUUAAAAUCAGAAUUACCAUCAUCUGUUAUUGUUGCUGAAUCAUCGUUUGUUGUGUCUGAAUUAUUAUGUUGUCUUGUUGUUUCAUCAUCAAGAUUGAAUCUGUUUUGAAGUGAUUGUAUGACUUGAAAAGGAUAUUUCACAGCUUUAUUCUUAGAAACAGAAUGCGACCCAGUUACAACAUCUGAUCUCCAACCUAUGAAAAACAACAAAAAACAAUUGUCCUACCUGCAUUGGCAUUCAGCAGUUUCCUUCUCAGCCUUGCAUUUUUACAAUCGUUAUGCUCCAUUACAGUACAGAAAUGUUAUGGAAUAGUUUCAAAGGUUACAAUGGAAGAAGCAAAAAUAAAGGUACAAUCAGACGUUUUUUUGAGUCAGUACUAUAUAUAGUAAAACAAAGACAACUUUUUCAAAGGAAUUAUGUACAAUCUUAACAUCAUUAUGUAUAAAAAUGAUAACAUACAGUUAGUGUACGCACAUACUAAAGCAACAUACAUCCAUACAUAUGAUUAUAUACAUUAUAACUUUUCAUUAUUCCUCCAACUAUAUAGGUUUCAA